rnacentral:rRNA from 1 species
AUUGAACGCUGGCGGCAUGCCUUACACAUGCAAGUCGAACGGUAACAGGUCUUCGGAUGCUGACGAGUGGCGAACGGGUGAGUAAUACAUCGGAACGUGCCUAGUAGUGGGGGAUAACUACUCGAAAGAGUGGCUAAUACCGCAUGAGAUCUACGGAUGAAAGCAGGGGAUCGCAAGACCUUGUGCUACUAGAGCGGCCGAUGGGAGAGUAGGUGGUUGGUGGGAUAAAAGCUUACCAAGCCGACGAUCUGUAGGUGGUCUGACAGGGGGAUCAGCCACACUGGCACUGAGCCACGGCCCAGCCUCCUAGGGGAGGCAGCAGUGGGGAAUUUUGGACAAUGGGCGAAAGCCUGAUCCAGAAAUGCAGCGUGCAGGAUGAAGGCCUUCGGGUUGUAAACUGCUUUUGUACGGAAAGAAAAGCCUGGGUUAAUACCCUGGGGUCAUGACGGUACCGUAAGAAUAAGCACCGGCUAACUACGUGCCAGCCGCCGCCGUAA